rnacentral:rRNA from 1 species
GACGAACUGUUCUAACGUUAUUCGGAAUCACUGGGCUUAAAGGGCGCGUAGACGGCUUGUUAAGUCUGGAGUGGAAGUCCUCUUUUCAAGGGAGGAAUUGCUUUGGAAACUGGCGGGCUUGAGUGCAGGAGAGGUUAUCGGAAUUCCCGGUGUAGCGGUGAAAUGCGUAGAGAUCGGGAGGAACACCAGUGGCGAAGGCGGGUAACUGGACUGCAACUGACGCUGAGGCGCGAAAGUGUGGGGAGCAAACAGGAUUAGAUACCCUGGUAGUCCCUGAG